CUGGGAAGCUGCAGUGAACGAGACCCACAUGCCUCUACCCUUCAGGACUCCAGCCAGAGAACCCAACAGGUUAGUGCUGGAGCCUGUUGUAAAGGGGUGGGAAAAGAAGCAGGUCCCAAAGGAUGUGGCAGGCUCAAUGUGGGGAUGCAAGCAGGGCUACUUGACCCGGUCGGCGGGCUUUCGGGCGAGCAGCACAACAGCACG